rnacentral:rRNA from 1 species
CCUACGGGUGGCAGCAGUGAGGAAUAUUGGUCAAUGGCCGCAGGGCUGAACCAGCCAAGCCGCGUGAGGGAUGACGGUCCCAAGGAUUGUAAACCUCUUUUGUCAGGGAGCAAAGUCCGCCACGUGUGGCGUUUCGCGAGUACCUGAAGAAAAAGCAUCGGCUAACUCCGUGCCAGCAGCCGCGGUAAUACGGAGGAUGCGAGCGUUAUCCGGAUUUAUUGGGUUUAAAGGGUGCGCAGGCGGAAUGUCAAGUCAGCGGUAAAAGUUCGGGGCUCAACCCCGUCGUGCCGUUGAAACUGGCGGUCUUGAGUGGGCGAGAGGUAUGCGGAAUGCGUAGUGUAGCGGUGAAAUGCAUAGAUAUUACGCAGAACUCCGAUUGCGAAGGCAGCAUACCGGCGCCCAACUGACGCUCAUGCACGAAAGCGUGGGUAUCGAACAGGAUUAGAUACCCUUGUAGUC